AGGGAUAGUGUGGUUGACUGAGAGGGCAUUUUUGUCAUUAUACAUCGGUAACAAGUCUUGAUAGGCUCUUAAGGCCAGUCUUGGGUUAUAUAACAAGGCAUCUCCCUUU
rnacentral:sRNA from 1 species